CGUCCUCGGACAUUGAAGAAACAAAAUGGCGGAAAAAUAUCGUUGGAUUGAAAAGUUGUCAAAACAUCCACUUUUUCAAACAGUUCUCGAGUGCUACCAUAAAGACAACUCCACUACGGAAGCAAGGAAUGUCUUAGCUGAGAGAGAAGGGGAGUUAUUUGUGUGGGUGCCGGAAAAAUCUCGUAUUUUCACGACCAAUCUGAAAAACGUGUUGUUUGAAAAUGAGCGAGCUGAUAAAUAUCAAGAAUUUCUCUUCACCAAGCAUCCAUUAUUCAAAGUCCAUACACUAAGGUUCAGUCUAACUGGCAGGUAUCUUGCUCUGGUUGGUCACAAGGGGAUUAGUGUUAUUGAGAUGCCACAACGCUGGGGCAGGUUUGCCGAGUAUCAAGGCGGAGCAGACAUUGUCAACUGUAGGACUAUAACAGUCGAUGAGAGGUUUUUCACUGUUCAUGCCAAGACUGUUGCCCUUGAGGCAAGAUGGCACCCAUCCAGUCACACGGACAGUCACCUAGUUGUACUCACUUCUGAUAACAUGCUGAGGAUAUACAACAUCCUUCAACCUGAAGUUCCAGAACAAGUCAUCAACCUUAGUGACCCAUUCUCAUCUGAAGUUAACCAGAGCAGAAGCACAAUGACAUCAGCAUCAGCAUUUGCAAUAGCCCUGGGAGAGACGUCUGUAUCAUUUGACUUUGCUCCUCCAAUAAGGAAAUGUAAACCUCGAUUCAAGAAUGAAAGUAGCUCUGCAGUUGAAGCAGAGCCAGUUUAUCCCCUGUUUAUACUGAGAGAGAAUGCAGAUGUGUACUAUUUGGUGUUUGAGCUGGGUAACAAGGGGUUUGGAUUAGAAUCAGUUGGUCCGCUCACCAUGCACCCUGCCACAGACAACAACUAUGGUCUAGAUGCUUGUUCAAUAAUCUGUCUGCAGUCCCAACCCCCUGUGGUUGUCAUGGCAACUGCUAAUGGCAGGAUAUAUCAUUGUAUUGUUCUUGAGAGUAACGAUGAAAGUGAUUCAGCUCAAGGAGACAAGAAUGAAUCCUGGAGUGAUCAGCAGUUGACAGUAUCAGAUCUUACCUUGUAUGUUCAUGAGUGUGUGGAGUUACAGAGAUCUAUUGCAGGCAGGGAUGUUGACGAGUCAUCUCAAGCCAGUCAUGAUUCUGUGGAAUCUCUCAAUUCAUGUCCUGUUCAGCUCUAUCGAGAUUCUGCCUCAUCAAAUCAAUACCAUUGCUGCCAUCCAUCGGGAGUACACAGUAUAGUGUUACCCUGGGUUAGAAAAUUGGAAUCUUUCUGUAUCGAAGAUGGUGUUGAAGGAGCUACAAUGUUUGACACAGAUGAAGAAGCAAUAGUUUAUCACAUGGUUUGCACAACACCCUCCACUGAAAGUGCUCCAUCACCCGUACAUGGACUGUGUGUAAUCAACAACCUUAUUCUAGGAUCAUCUCUUGUUUGUCUGACAGACAGGAUGGAGUGUAUAGCAAGACCUCUAGACUUACUUCAAAGACCAUUAGCUCCGCCAUCAAACACAGAGGAGGAGGAGGAGGAUGAAAAGAAUUAUAAAGGAAUCAAGUCUCCAAUGCGUCAUCUAUUAUCAGGAUCAUUUGUUGAACACAUCAGAAAGAUUCUAACGCGAAACACUUCAACACCACUGAUCAGGGCACAAUCCACCAGUGAUCUUUCCCAAGAAGACCGUCUUAAGAUUUUUACAGAAGCACAGCAGAUCUUGAGGGAGGAAUAUUUACAAAGACAGAACCGUGCUAAAGUAGAAAUAGAAAAAAAGAGUUUCCAUUUUGAGAGAUCAAAAAAAGAAACAAGAGCAGGAUCUUGAUAACCUUCGAAGAAAUCGAGAUGCCGUUAGGAAUAAAGCAGAAGAGUUAGCCGACAAGAUAGAAGAUGUGAUAUCACAGGAUAUUGAGUUGUCGGACAAACUGGAGAAUGUUUGUCAGCACAUUGAGACACAAAUCCCUGUGAUCUCAAAGGCAGAGGGGAAAAUGAGAGAAGAACUUGAAACAAUCCAACUUCGUGUAAACUUCUUACAAGAUUCACUCGAUCAG
rnacentral:misc_RNA from 1 species